rnacentral:rRNA from 1 species
UACGUAGGAUGCAAGCGUUGUCCGGAAUUAUUGGGCGUAAAGAGCGCGCAGGCGGUUUGCCAAGUCAGAUGUGAAGGAGGCCGGCUUAACCGGCAAGGGUCAUUUGAAACUGACAGACUAGGGUGCAGCAGAGGAUAGCGGAAUUCCCGGUGUAGUGGUGAAAUGCGUAGAUAUCGGGAGGAACACCAGUGGCGAAGGCGGCUAUCUGGGCUGCAACUGACGCUGAGGCGCGAAGGCUAGGGUAGCAAACAGG